rnacentral:misc_RNA from 1 species
UGAGGAUCUACAUGUUGGAAAGAUAUCCUUCCUGCAGCCCACCCCCGCCUACUAUGAGUGUGGGAUUUCUAUACCAUAGAGUCUGGGCUCAAGCUUCUGAUAACAAUCAGCAGUUAACAUACUCCUUGAAAACCAGCAGCCAAAACUGAAAACUUUCAAACCGCAAGAGAUCUUGUAUGAAUAAGAGGGUGUAGUAGGUUGUGGUUCAAGAGAAUUAAUUACAAGGCUGACAAAUAACCUUGAAAGAUUGUUUUAGUUUGUAGAUUUUUGUAUUUACUCAAGUGGUUUUAUAUCUGAUGUUUAUCUAUAUAUACAGUGUAUAUUUAUUUUUUUUCUUUAGAAACAUUUAUCGAUCUAACUUUAGUGGGUAUUUUCCUUGUGUAUGAUUUUACAAGUAUAUAGAUAUUUUUUCAUGUUUUUUCCAAUAAAAAUUUCUUAAAU